rnacentral:lncRNA from 1 species
CAGUGGCUGCAUGCCUCUCAUGCUUCUGAGUUACGUUUGUCCUGCUUCUGAGAAGAUCAGCCACUUCAGAAUGAACCAAUUAAUACAAUCGCUAGGUGCCCUCCUGUAGUACCUCUGUGAGGUUUGAAGGACUUGCCCUGAUGAACCUCCACUUCCCUGUAAUUCCCUAUAAGAUCUGCAGCACAAAGCUGUGAAGGUGCUGGUCAGGGGUGGAAUGCAACUGAUGCUGUCACCAGACUCUAAUCCCAAUAUCUCCCAGAUAUUCCACAGAUACCACAUUCUAACCAGAAUAAUCUGCAUCAUCUAAAGGGUUUAUGAUAUGUGGCUGUGGGACUGGACCAAUAUGAGCCCACAGAAGCCUGCAUACUUGGAACCACUUGGUGGGAUCAAUGUCAUUAGGAGACACAACUAUAAAUGCUGUCAUUCAACCCAGCUUGAAUGAAUAACAAAGAACAUGCUCCAGGAGGAUAAAGAACAGAGCAUCUCCUUGGUUUGUGCAGGCUUCCCACUGCAGCUGCCAUGCAGCAGAAACUGAAUGAUUCCAUAAAGUCAAGAAAUAACCAUGAUGGCUCUUCGUAAGCGUAAGCUUGGUGAAUACUAUUAUUUUGGUAGAGUAUUAUUUUGGUAGAGGACUCCCAACACUGCCGUCAUGCAGUGAGAUCUUGCUGAAGGAAGGGGAUCUCAUGGGAUUGGGGUCUGGGAAGAGGUUUGAAAAGAUAAGGAAAGUUCCACUGAGGACUAGAGGAAAGGGUAAAAUGACAAUACCCUUCUUUGUGGGUCACUUCAUAGUUUACCAAGUAUUCUCAUGUCCACUGUUUGCUUGUGCUUCAAGUCAGCCUUUUGAGGUAAGUGUCCUUAUCAUUGUUUCUCAGAGGAAGACAUAGAGGUUCACAGAAAUUAGGUAACUUAUCCAAAAUCACAUAGCUACUAAGGAGUAAAGCCUGGGCCUUCACUAAAUAUGUAAAUGUUGCUUUCGGCAUCUGGCCAUGACCCUCCCUCUCUACCGCAAGUCUCUCUAGCAAGCUGCUUUCCAGAGAGGCAAAGCUGUUCCAACAAUCAUGGUUUGACAGAAGUCCCUGACAGAACAGAAUAUCACAUGAGUGAUGGCAAACCUUUUUUUUUUUUUUUUUAAAUAUACCUUGGCUUGACAUUAGAGUAGUAAUAAGCUCUAAAAACAGUAAAUUCAUCAUGAUUCUUGCCCACAGGAUGAGAGAGCAUGCAUGGAAAAGAAACAUUCAAGUUUGGAAUCAGAGUUUCCAAUAACUAAGGUUUUGGAAUCACCCAGAAUAUCCAUAAGCAGGAUUCCCCCUAGAUUUGUGAUCUUAUUUCCAGGGAAUUCCUGGUUUGGAUUAUAAGUGAAAGUCAAAUCUGUUUCUGACCAAGUUUUGGCUUUGAUAUCCUUAGUGAGGUACUCCCUUUUCCCAGACCCCCAGGAAUUUAGCGCCCUAGUCCUGAAACUGGUGACUGGGAACACUUGGAAAUUCUUGUGAUUGAGCAACUGAGGACUUCAAGUAAACCCCUAGCAGUCAGGACACACCCUGUGUGUGAGUUAGUCCUGAGAUCACUGAAGGAAGUUUAAAUUCUGGUUCCAAGAAAGUGCCUGUUUAUCUUUGUGUAUUACAGGAUCACUGGAGGUCCAGGGCAGUGUUCCCGGCCUGCCUCACAUAGGACGGUGAGGGGUGAGUGGGUUUCACUACAAAUAAAGAUCUUCAAGUGAAUAUUUAAAUAAUGAAAUUUCUUCCAAUAAAAUUUUUCUUAUAUCUUAUUCAUAUUAUUUUCUUCAACUACUUAUUUAGCUUGUGAAAAUAAUAACUAUUUUAGUUAAUUUCCUUUACUAGGCCCUCAAACAAAAAUCACAUCUGUGAUAGAAAGUGCCUAGAUACUUGCUU